rnacentral:rRNA from 1 species
ACUCCUACGGGAGGCAGCAGUGGGGAAUAUUGCACAAUGGGCGCAAGCCUGAUGCAGCCAUGCCGCGUGUGUGAAGAAGGCCUUCGGGUUGUAAAGCACUUUCAGUUGUGAGGAAGGUGGUGUCGUUAAUAGCGGCAUCAUUUGACGUUAGCAACAGAAGAAGCACCGGCUAACUCCGUGCCAGCAGCCGCGGUAAUACGGAGGGUGCGAGCGUUAAUCGGAAUUACUGGGCGUAAAGCGCAUGCAGGUGGUUUGUUAAGUCAGAUGUGAAAGCCCGGGGCUCAACCUCGGAACUGCAUUUGAAACUGGCAGACUAGAGUACUGUAGAGGGGGGUAGAAUUUCAGGUGUAGCGGUGAAAUGCGUAGAGAUCUGAAGGAAUACCGGUGGCGAAGGCGGCCCCCUGGACAGAUACUGACACUCAGAUGCGAAAGCGUGGGGAGCAAACAGGAUUAGAUACCCUGGUAGGACAGAG